AAAGCAGAAAAUAUGUGUAUUGAAGAUUCCAAUUCAGAGUUUUAACGACACCACAAUUUUCGAGACAUUGUCAAUGACUGGGAAGACAAUCUUAUUUUGAACUUCAUAAAACUGAUCUUUAUUUACAAAGUUUAAAUUAAUUGCAUUUGCAAAUUGCUUGGUGGCUUCAUAGGUUCCUCCAGUCAUGAUAGUUGCAGCAGGAAUUAAAAUAUUACCUGCUGGUUUAUUGUGCAAAUAUGGUUGAGACUUCCACUGUUCCUCACCUUCAGAUUCCUCAUCUGUAUCUAGUUCCUCAAGAUAGGUAUAAUCAUCAUCACUAUCUGAUGCAGCAAUAUCAUCACUGCUUCCUAAAGAGAUUUCUGAAUCAGAUGAUAUAAUAGGAGUUGUUAUGAUAGGAGUUGUUGUGUUAGGAGUUGUGGGAGAUGUUACUGGUUUUGGUGUACGACUUGAAGAAACUGCAUUUAAAGAGGGGGCAACAUUUUUUGAAG